CCCAGCAGCCAUAUCACCCUGUAGCCCAAGACUGGUUGCCCACUGAAGCUAAGCAGGGUUGAGCCUGGUCAGUACCUGGAUGGGAGACCUCCUGAGAAAACUAGGUUGCUGCUGGGA
rnacentral:rRNA from 1 species